GACGAACGCUGGCGGCGCGCCUAACACAUGCAAGUCGAACGAGCGAGAGAGAGCUUGCUUUCUCGAGCGAGUGGCGAACGGGUGAGUAACGCGUGAGGAAUCUGCCUCAAAGAGGGGGACAACAGUUGGAAACGACUGCUAAUACCGCAUAAGCCCACGGUGCCGCAUGGCACAGAGGGAAAAGGAGUAAUCCGCUUUGAGAUGGCCUCGCGUCCGAUUAGCUAGUUGGUGAGGUAACGGUCCACCAAGGCGACGAUCGGUAGCCGGACUGAGAGGUUGAACGGCCACAUUGGGACUGAGACACGGCCCAGACUCCUACGGGAGGCAGCAGUGGGGAAUAUUGCACAAUGGGGGGAAACCCUGAUGCAGCGACGCCGCGUGGAGGAAGAAGGUCUUCGGAUUGUAAACUCCUGUUGUUGGGGAAGAUAAUGACGGUACCCAACAAGGAAGUGACGGCUAACUACGUG
rnacentral:rRNA from 1 species